rnacentral:misc_RNA from 1 species
UUGGACACCGUCCGUUCAGGACCCACACGUUUGCUUGUCUGUUGGUUAAAGUUGCCGGCAAGAAGCCGGAAACAAGUGAUUCCCCUUCUUUUGAAGAGAGUCGAAUUAUUUGUUUCCGGUUUUUUAAUCGGUCUCACAUAUGAAUGAUGUGAGAAGCUCUUUAACAAUUUGGAAAUGAGAAGUCCAAGUAUUCAUUGAGAAUGCAAGCGUUUAGAUAUUUCUCUGACACUUGUGUCUUAUUGGUGAAUCGUUAUCACGAUGAAAGACCUGGACGGUGGUGAGUUUUCUUUUUGAGGUGAGAGCCUUUGAAGGGAAAUGCAGC